rnacentral:rRNA from 1 species
GUGCCAGCCGCCGCGGUAAUACAGAGGUCUCGAGCGUUCAACGGAUUCAUUGGGCUUAAAGCGUACGUAGGCGGAUGUGCAGGCGUCGUGUGAAAGCCCUCGGCUCAACCGAGGAAUUGCACGGCGAACCGCAUGUCUUGAGACAAGUAGGGGCGGUCGGAACGAUAGGUGGAGUGGUGAAAUGCGUUGAUAUCUAUCGGAACGCCGAUGGUGAAGACAGGCCGCUGGGCUUGUUCUGACGCUGAGGUACGAAAGCAUGGGGAGCGAACGGGAUUAGAUACCCUCGUAGUCC